CAGAAGUUGUCUCUAACCAUUUGCAGUACUAGUAUUGAUUUAUCAAUCAAGAGUGCGGAAUGCAGAAAUUAACUGCAAGUCCUUUUGAAAUACAUUAAAAGAUUCCUUUUGCAGUACUCCAGACACCUCUUGUUUUAUUUACAGUUUUAUUAUAUUUGAAGUCUAAUUAUAAAUUACACAAGAUUUUCUAAUACAUGUACACUACUGGUAUUUUGAAAAUAUAUGAUCAGUUGUCAUAUUUAAUAUAUAGCCCAUAUAGUUAUUCAUGUGUUUGAGUAUUUGUCUCUAUAUUAAAGAGUUUGUCAACAAGGUUAAAGCUUAUUAUCUUCCUGCAAAAUAAUUACAAGAUUAAAAAAUACAGUGGUUGUGUAACUUCCUUCUAUAUAAUGUACAGUGAAUGACUGUUGUAGAAAUUUCACUACAUUUUAUAAUAUAGUGACUGGAUUAUGAAUACAAUUUUGUUAUCAUCCACAGUAGAUGUUUAAUUUACUUUAUAUCUGGGAGAGGAUUAGCAAUAUUAAUUGUUAUUAACUACAGCAUAUUAUUUGUAAUUUACAAUUCAAACAUUAAUGUCUCCUUUUCAUUUGUAUUGUGUUGAAUAAAUGCUCUUGACAUUGUUGUCAAUGUGGGUUUAUUGAUGAGAGAAAUGAAGUAUAUAAUAAAGAUAUCUGAAUAG
rnacentral:sRNA from 1 species